AAACCGCUUUUCGGGGGGACGAAGGCAGUGACGGUACCCCCGGAAGAAGGCCCGGCUAACUACGUGCCAGCAGCCGCGGUAAGACGUAGGGGCCGAGCGUUGUCCGGAGUUACUGGGCGUAAAGGGCGCGCAGGCGGCCGGUCGCAUCGGCGGUGAAAGCCCCCCGCUCAACGGGGGAGGGUCCGUCGAGAUGGAUCGGCUGGAGGCAGGGAGAGGGCGGUGGAAUUCCGGGUGUAGUGGUGAAAUGCGUAGAGAUCCGGAGGAACACCAGUGGCGAAGGCGGCCGCCUGGACCUGACCUGACGCUGAGGCGCGAAGGCGUGGGGAGCGAACGGGAUUAGAUACCCCGGUAGUCCACGCAGUAAACGAUGGGCACGAGGUGUGGCGGGAGUUGACCCCUGCCGUGCCGGCGCUAACGCAGUAAGUGCCCCGCCUGGGGAGUACGGCCGCAAGGCUAAAACUCAAAGGAAUUGACGGGGGCCCGCACAAGCAGCGGAGCGUGUGGUUUAAUUCGACGCAACGCGCACCACCUUACCAGGGCUUGACGUCCGCGGAACCCGCCUGAAAGGGCGGGGUGCCUUCGGGAGCCGCGAGACAGGUGCUGCAUGGCUGUCGUCAGCU
rnacentral:rRNA from 1 species